rnacentral:rRNA from 1 species
CCUACGGGAGGCUGCAGUGGGGAAUAUUGCACAAUGGGUGAAACCCUGCUGCAGCAACGCCGCGUGAGCGAUGAAGGCCUCCGGGUCGUAAAGCUCUGUCCUAAGGGAAGAAUACUGACGGUACCUUAGGAGGAAGCCCCGUCUAAGUACGUGCCAGCAGUCGCGGUAAUACGUAGGGGGCUAGAGUUUUCCGGAAUUACUGGGCGUAAAGGGUGCGUAGGCGGCCGUUCACGUCAGAGGUGAAAGGCUACGGCUCAACCGUAGUAAGCCUUUGAAACUGUCGGGCUUGAGUGCAGGAGAGGAGAGUGGAAUUCCCAGUGUAGCGGUUAAAUGCGUAGAUAUUGGGAGGAACACCAGUUGCGAAGGCGGCUCUCUGGACUGUAACUGACGCUGAGGCACGAAAGCGUGGGGAGCGAACAGGAUUAGAUACCCGUGUAGUC